rnacentral:rRNA from 1 species
UGGGGAAUAUUGGACAAUGGGCGCAAGCCUGAUCCAGCCAUGUCGCGUGAGUGAUGAAGGUCUUAGGAUUGUAAAGCUCUUUCACCGGAGAAGAUAAUGACGGUAUCCGGAGAAGAAGCCCCGGCUAACUUCGUGCC